rnacentral:rRNA from 1 species
UACGAAGGGGGCUAGCGUUGUUCGGAAUUACUGGGCGUAAAGCGCACGUAGGCGGACUAUUAAGUCAGGGGUGAAAUCCCGGGGCUCAACCCCGGAACUGCCUUUGAUACUGGUAGUCUCGAGUCCGGAAGAGGUGAGUGGAAUUCCGAGUGUAGAGGUGAAAUUCGUAGAUAUCGGGAGGAACACCAAUGGCGAAGGCAGCUCGCUGGGACGGUACUGACGCUGAGGCGCGAAAGCCAGGGGAGCAAACGGG